rnacentral:lncRNA from 1 species
UUCAUAGUAACGAAUGCUUCGUCAAUGCUUAUGUUUUUAAUAGAACUUAAUGAUUCUUGCUUGUAUCUCUAUUAUGCAAUUCAUGUAGGGAACUUGUAGGGAAUGUUUUGGGUUGUCGUAUGCAAUCAUCCAACUUAAUAACUUGUGGAGAAACUGAGGGUUAAUUAGUGCAAUUCACGGUUAAUUUGGGGCGUUGAGUAUUUAUAAUUUAUUGGAAGAACAACUGAAAAUCGUUUUGUUUGCAAGUGUGACAUGUAUGGAGAAGAACCACCUAACUAGCCUUUUAUCCAUCUAUUUCACCAAAAUCGUUUUUACAAUCUGUGCUAGUUAAAGUUUCUGUUUUGUGUUAAAUUUUCGUCCAAAACAAAUCCCCCUUUAAUUUGAAGUCUUGGAUUAGUUAGAAAGUGUUUUGAUUUGUGUUUCUAAGUAUUUUGAUUCAAGAUUUCAUCAAAUUUCGUCCAAAUUAGUGUAGGUGCUCAAAACUGCCCAGAAAGUGGUUUUUAGGCAGUUUUGAGCCUUCUAGUUGCUGUUUUGAGUUUUAGGUUUGUUUAAGUGUUUUAACCUUUACUUUUGCAUUCUUUGAGUCUAAGUUAGUGUUUUUAAACUUUGUUUUUGAGUUUUAAGUCAGUUUCCAAGUGUUUAGCAAUCCCUCCUAAUCCCCGGUCUAGAACGAUCCCUACUUACAUCUUUACUACAAUUUGACAAAAAGAGGGUUUAAUUUGUGUGCUUAUCUAUUUCGCAUCAAGAACCUUGGAGCACUCUUACUAACAAAGUGGAGGAGGCAAGGAGGGAGGCUAGGCUCAAGGACUUCAAGGAACAAAGGGCUUGGAGGUGGUCCAUCCUUGGUCUCAAGUCUAGAUCAAGAGGUAUAAGACUAAACUUUCACCUUGUUCUUUACUAAAAUGUUUUGAUGCAUUAUAUAUAAACCUAUGAACCUUGAAGGGGAUUUGCAUGACUAUAGCUUUGAUAUUAUUUGAUAAAUUGCUUCCGUUGCUCAUGUAUAUAAAUUUUGAAUUGUAUAUGCAUGCUAGUCAUUUAGAAAUCCCAUGUGUUAAGCUCAUAAUUUUCCCUUCACUUACUAUGCCGUCCAAGACAUGGAUGAACAACUGCUGCUCGAAGAAGAGGAGAAUAACAAGGCAACGGCAAAGGAAGAACCACAUUUGCCGCAGCCCCAUAUGCCCUCUAUGCUGUCCAUUAGAACCAAGGUAAGCCUAAAUUCAAUUUGUCCUGACCCCGUUUCACCAAAUGUCCUUAUUGCUUGCAGGAUCAUGCAAUCCAAGGAAGAAGCGGGUGAGAAAGGCAUAUUCGAAACCUUUCCAAAGUAAUCAAGAGCAAGAAGUGGAUAAGGAAUGUCUAGAAUUCAUCAAAGAAGAUACACUUG